GCGCCCGUAGCUCAGCUGGAUAGAGCGCCGGACUUCGAAUCCGUAGGUCGCAGGUUCGAAUCCUGCCGGGCGCGCCA
rnacentral:tRNA from 4 species